rnacentral:rRNA from 1 species
AUACGGAGGAUGCGAGCGUUAUCCGGAUUUAUUGGGUUUAAAGGGAGCGUAGGCGGGAGCUUAAGUCAGCGGUUAAAUGGUGCGGCUCAACCGUGCCCUGCCGUUGAAACUGGGUUUCUUGAGAGUGCAAGAGGCGGAUGGAAUUCAUGGUGUAGCGGUAAAAUGCUUAGAUAUCAUGAAGAACUCCGAUUGCGAAGGCAGUCCGCUGGGGCACGUCUGACGCUGAUGCUCGAAGGUGCGGGAAUCAAACAGGAUUAGAUACCCUGGUAGUCCGCACGGUAAACGAUGAUUACCCGCUGUCGGCGGUAGACAGUCGGCGGCCAAGCGAAAGCGAUAAGUAAUCCACCUGGGGAGUACGCCGGCAACGGUGAAACUCAAAGGAAUUGACGGGG